rnacentral:rRNA from 1 species
UUAUUGGUAUUUAUUAUAACGUUAAUUUAUAUGUAAAUUUAUGUGAAUAAAAUACUCUAAAGGAGAUUUUGUUUAAAAAUGCAGUAGAUAAUAUUAUUGAUAUUAAAUUAAUUUAGAUUUAGUAAACGUUGAAAGGUUUGGUAAAAGUUGUGCCAGCAUCCGCGGUUAUACAACAAAAUCAAAUAAAUAUUAUUGGCUUUAAAAUAAUUAAUAUUUAUUUAUUAUGUAAAAUUGAGGUAUUUUAGGGUGAAAUAUUUUUAAUACUUUAGUAGUAUAUAAAUGUUAGUAUGAUUAUUAUGAAAUUAAAAACAUAAACUAGGAUUAGAUACCCUAUUAUUUUUAUUGUAAAUUUUUAAGUCAGAGUAUUAAUAGUUAUGGUCUUAAAACUUAAAGAAUUUGGCGGUAUUAUAGUCUAUUUAGAGGAAUCUGUUAUGUGAUCGAUAAUCCACGUUGAACCUUACUUAUAUUAUUUUUUGUAUACCGCUGUUUAAGAAUAUACUUUUAGGUUAUUUUCUUAAUAUAAAAUUAAUUAGUAUUUCAAGUCAAGGUGCAGUAAUAUAUAAGUUGAAUAAUGGAUUACAAUAAAUUUUAUUUAUAUGGAUUAUUAUUGAAAUAUAAUUUGAAGGUGGAUUUAAUUGUAAUUUUAUAAAGAUUGUUAAAAUGAUUUUAGGCUCUAUAAUAUGUACACAUCGCCCGUCGCUCUCAUUAUAAGAUGAGAUAAGUCGUAACAAAGUAGGUGUAUCGGAAGAUGUACCUAGAAAGUAAUUAU